UACGUAGGGAGCAAGCGUUGUCCGGAAUCAUUGGGCGUAAAGCGCGCGUAGGUGGCUUCGUAAGUCCGUUGUGAAAGUCAAAGGCUCAACCUUUGAAAGCCGAUGGAUACUGCGGAGCUAGAGUACGGAAGAGGCGAGUGGAAUUCCUGGUGUAGCGGUGGAAUGCGCAGAUAUCAGGAGGAACACCAAUAGCGAAGGCGGUUCUCUGGGCCUGUACUGACGCUGAGGAACGAAAGCGUGGGGAGCGAACAGG
rnacentral:rRNA from 1 species